AUCAAGAAAAAUGUUUUGGUUCUUGAAAGAUUUGGUUUUACUUUUACCUGAGAUCUAGCAAAGUCUAGAAGUGCUUGAGGUUGAACCGAACCAUCAUGACAGUUGAGUCUAGCGUUCCCUGCAGAGAGAUAGUCAGAAUAAACCGCAAGAAGAAACGCAGCCGCAGAUGCAUAUUGCAGAUUGUUCCACUCUCUAACAUACAUCAAACCACCUGUAAUCAUCACCAUUAAAAUGGGAUCACUAACUAUUGUUGCACUAUUAGGUUAUCAAUGGUGGCAUAAGAAGCAUCGAAGGCAAGACCUUGACGUUUGAAAAUGGACUGAGACAAGAUUUUGAUGUCAUUGUGUUUGCGACUGGUUACAAAAGCUCUGUAUGCAAUUGGUUAAAGAACUAUGAGUACGUGAUGCGGGAUGAUGGCUUCCCCAAAAAUCCAAUGCCAGAUCAUUGGAAAGGAGAGAAAAAUAUUUAUUGUGCUGGAUUUUCAAGGAAGGGAAUCGCUGGAGCCGCUCAAGAUGCGAUGUCUGUCGCCCAAGACAUCAAAUCUAUUUUGGAAACGGCCAGAUACUAAGGAAUUCUCAAAACAACCAACAGAAAGAUUGGAUUACAAUAUACACUUAUACUAGGUGAAUCACCGUAUGUAUACGCAUAAAUUAAUAUUUAGUAAAACAAUAAUUUGUAAUAGUUAUUAAUAUUUAUUUUGUUUUUGUUUUAUAUUUUAUAUUAUGUUAA